UGAGCGCAACCCUCGUCCUAUGUUGCCAGCAUUCAGUUGGGCACUCUAAGGUGACUGCCGGCUAAAGUCGGAGGAAGGUGGGGAUGACGUCAAAUCAUCAUCGCCCCUUAUGACCUGGGCUACACACGUGUUACAAUGGGCGGUACAAAGGGUCGCGAACCCGCGAGGGGGAGCCAAUCCCAAAAAGCCGCUCUCAGUUCGGAUUGCAGGCUGCAACUCGCCUGCAUGAAGCCGGAAUCGCUAGUAAUCGCGGAUCAGCAUGCCGCGGUGAAUACGUUCCCGGGCCUU
rnacentral:rRNA from 1 species